GACGAACGCUGGCGGCGGGCUUAACACAUGCAAGUCGAACGGAAAGGCCCUGCUUUUGUGGGGUGCUCGAGUGGCGAACGGGUGAGUAACACGUGAGUAACCUGCCCUUGACUUUGGGAUAACUUCAGGAAACUGGGGCUAAUACCGGAUCGGAGCUCCUGCUGCAUGGUGGGGGUUGGAAAGUUUCGGCGGUUGGGGAUGGACUCGCGGCUUAUCAGCUUGUUGGUGGGGUAGUGGCUUACCAAGGCUUUGACGGGUAGCCGGCCUGAGAGGGUGACCGGCGACAUUGGGACUGAGAGACGGCCCAGACUCCUACGGGAGGCAGCAGUGGGGAAUAUUGCACAAUGGGCGGAAGCCUGAUGCAGCAACGCCGCGUGCGGGAUGACGGCCUUCGGGUUGUAAACCGCUUUCGCCUGUGACGAAGCGUGAGUGACGGUAAUGGGUAAAGAAGCACCGGCUAACUACGUG
rnacentral:rRNA from 1 species